rnacentral:lncRNA from 1 species
CUGCUUCUGUUGGGAACUUCAUCGCCAGAUAUCUGAUACUGGUGACAGCCUCAAAGUCGAACAGCACAGGUCGUCCCAGAAUCGCGUUGUAACUCAAGGGGAGUUUAGCCACCAAGAACACCGCAUAAUGGGUGCGAGCCCUCGGAGCCUCUCCCAAAGUAAGGGCUAGUUUUACUUUCCCUUCCACCGUCACUGGUGCUCCUCCAAUCCCUUUAAUCGGGGCUUGAUCCCGAACCAGUUGCUCUUCAGGAAUUCCCAUCUGCUGGAAGACUCGAUAAGGCAACAGGUUUACCUUGCUUUCGUCAUCCACCAAGAUUUUCUUUACCCGGUAGUUGUG